GGGAGAAGAGUCUGUUAAGAUAGCCGUCGGAUGACCUGCCUGCAGCAAAUUCAAGUAUUCAUGGUCCUGAAGUUAUUAAUUCAGAACCAUCUCAUAUAAUUUGCUGAUGCCAAAGGCAAGUCAUCCUUGGCUACUAAACAAGACUCUUCUCU
rfam:Daucus carota subsp. sativus cultivar DH1 chromosome 3, whole genome shotgun sequence.